rnacentral:rRNA from 1 species
UACGUAGGCAGCGAGCGUUGUUCGGAGUUACUGGGCGUAAAGGGUGUGUAGGCGGUUGUUUAAGUUUGGUGUGAAAUCUCCCGGCUCAACUGGGAGGGUGCGCCGAAUACUGAGCGACUAGAGUGCGGGAGAGGAAAGUGGAAUUCCCGGUGUAGUGGUGAAAUGCGUAGAUAUCGGGAGGAACACCAGUGGCGAAGGCGACUUCCUGGCCUGUUCUUGACGCUGAGGCGCGAAAGCUAGGGUAGCAAACAGG